rnacentral:misc_RNA from 1 species
CUACUCCAUCGAUCUCCCCAGCAGCAAGCUUUGGCCUUCAUUCUACCAGAUCGGGCACACUCACAUCUAAAGGAUCCAAAACCGAACUAUUUUCGAAAAGUGAAACUUGGAGGCUUCAUUCCAUCGCCUGAGCUCUCACCAAACCUGUACCUAUCCCCAUUCACCUCCCCUCAGCUCGGUAUUACACAAAAUCAGAUCCGAAGCCCACAUGCAUCGACUUCAGAGAUUUGAUCUAAGAAAAUGACGGUCUUUACAGUCGCGUGAGCACCAUUUUCCUACUUAGGGAGAGGACACAUGUCAAUGCAGGUGCUCGGCCCCCUCAAUAGUGACGGCGAUUAACCUACAGGUUCCAUCAAUGACGGCAGCUCGCCCGUGCAAUCAAGAACCAUCUCACUGCAAUAGCCGUUGGCACUAUCUGCUCGGUAUAUCUGACCUCCUCGUUCUGAUUACUUAGCCUCUCCUCCUCUUUCUUCUUCAUUGUCUUCUUCUUAUACAUCUGUGUCUGUGCAUGUCUUUUUUUCAACAUCUGGAAUUGAUCCACCUGCAGAAGGUGUUCAUCAUACCGAAAUAAAACCAGCUUUUUUUUAUGGCUUGUUCUAUUAAUUUCAUUCUGUUACAAUCACCGUGUGCUUUUAGUUGAUUUUUAAAUUUAAAUUAUGCAGUUAGAACUUUUGUUGUUAUCUCGUGCUACCCCACCAUGUGUCAACUAUGGAGGAAAAAAAAAAGCUUCUGUUCCUGGUGUAUGUGAAUUGAUGCUGAUUUUGAAUAAUUUGGUGAAGUUUUUGGAGAAUUUACAUGAUUAAUUAUGAUUCUGUGAUGUGGGUGUUGUUGAAUAUUUGGGAAUUCAUGGGUUUGGGCAUUUAUAUGAGGCUUUAAGUUUGCUGGCUGGUCUCUUUGUAGGAUUUAGGGUUCAAUUGUCAAGUAAAUUAGAGGUACAAAAAUUAUAAUUUAUGGAGAAUCAAUUUCUUUUCAUGAAAACACU